rnacentral:lncRNA from 1 species
AGCAUACACAUCAGCGAGUAAGGAGCAAUGGGGAUCAUUGUAAGGUUUGUCUGCCACAAUAUUGCUAGCAUUAGGUUUUAUUGUAAAUUCAUUUUAUCUGUUUGAGAAAGUUUCUUUCUAUACCUAGUUUAUAGAAAGUUUUUAAUAAUGAAUGGAUAUUGAAUAUAUUAACUGUUUUUCUGCAUCUUAUUAAUGAGCAUAUAAGUUUUAGCCUUUAAUAAGUAAAGGAAGUGGUUUACGUUAAUUGAUUUUUGGAUGUUAAACUCAUGUAGUAUUUUGGGGAUACAUUUCAUAUUAUAAUUCUAUAUAGUACCAGAUUUUACUUGCUAAUAUUUUAUUGAAGGUUUUGAGGUGAAUGUUUAUGAUUUGUAUGUGUCCUUAAUUUUAUUUCUUGUAAUAUCAUGAUAAUCUUCUCAUAUAAUUACAAUGUUGUUCUCAUACAACAAUUUUAAAGGUAUUCUCUCAUGUUAUCAAAGAGUUGUGGAAACAUUAAUAUUGCUUAUUUCUUAAAUGUUGGAUAGGAUUUAUUGGUAAAUGCUCAUUUUUUUCACGGUAAUGUUUAUUUUUGCUAAGUAUACUUACGUAAUAUAAAUAUAAUCUUUCAAAUUUUCUUUUGAUGAGAAUUUUUAGGGUAUGCAAUUUUUUAUCCGUUCAUUUUUAACUACCCUUUUUCCUUUGAUUUAAAAUGGGAUUCUAUUGGCAGUGUAGGGUGUGGCAUUGUUUGUUUUUUAAUUUUAUUAUGAUAAUCUCUUUUUUUAAUGGGAGUCAUUAGACCACUUACUUUUAAUGUAAUUUGUUGCUUUGUUUGGACUUAAGCCUGUCUUAUUUUUGUUAUUUUAUUAUCUUAUAUAUUCUUGAGUCCUUCUCCUUAAUGUUUUGCCUGCCUUCUUUUAGAAUAGUUGAUUUUUUUAUGAUUCCAUUUUAUCUUCAGCCUUGUCUUGGUAGUUUAACUACAUUAUAUAUAUUUUUAUUAAUUGUAUUAGAAUUUACAAUAUACAAGUUUAAUUAUAACAAUUUGCAUUCUAAUAAUAUUAUGUCAUUUAAUUGCAACUCUAUGCUCCCAUUUUCUCUUCCCAGUUCUGUGUAAUGGUAGUUAUACAAUUUUCAUUCUGCAUAUGCUAUAAACCCCAAAAUAUAUUUUUUUAACUUUACAUAGACUCAUAUUUUAAAAUAAUAAAAAAACAGGGAAAAUGCUUAUAUAUACAUCCAAUAUUCUCCAUGUCCUUGUGUAAACCCAAAUAUCUAUCUGGCAAUAUGUUUCAUAAACUGGAAAACUGUUAUAUUAAAGUAUUUUUCAUAGGGCAGAUCUACCGACAAUGAAUUCUCUCAUCAUUUCUCUUUGUAUUUAAAAAAUUAUUUUACCUAAAUUUAAAAAAAUUGAUUUUCUAGGCUAUAAGAUUUUGUGUUGACAGGUUUUCUGUUUUUUUAUACUUUAUAAUUUUUGCUGUACAAUCUUCUGUUAUUGUUAUUACUACAAUUUUACUGUGAUUUUUUAUGUUUUCUUAAUUUCAAUAUAUUUUUCUCUUUUCUUCUUGGUUUUUAGCUGUAGGAAUUUGAUGGGCCUAGAUAUAUUUUUUCUCUGUGUUCAUUGUUUUCUAUGUUUUCUGAGUUUUACACAUCUGUGAUUUGGAAUCAUUCAGUAAUUUCGGAAAAUAAUGAGCCAUUCUUUUUUCAAAUAUUCCUUCUACUCUGUUCUUCCCCCUUUGCCUCCUAGGAUUCUAGUUACAUGUAGAGGAUUUAUUACUUCUCAAAGCCUUUGGGUCCUUUAUUAUGUAUCUUUAACUUAUUUUCUCUUCUUCAUUUUCAUUUUGACCAUUUCUAGUAAUUUAUAGUGAAGUUUGCUCAUUUUUUCAUCUUCUGUAUCUGGUCUUGUAAUAAACCCAUUGAAGAAAUUCUUCACUUCUGAUAAAAAAAUGCGUUAUUUUAACAUUUGCCUUUCACUGUGUUCUGGUUUCCAGCUCUCUUCUCAGAGUCUUGUGACUAUUUGGAAUUUAGUUUACCUAGUUGCCUUGCAACCUCAGCAUUAUGAAGAGGUCAAUAAUAGUUUUGAUUUCACAGAUUAACAAUUUAUUUUGCCAUUAGAGAUGGAAUGAUGUUUUCUUGCAACUUUCUACAUUUUAAUGAGAAAAAAACUCUUCAAAGUUUGGCUUUAAUCUGUUAAACCAGAUCCAGUGUAUCACUAAAGGAUUGGUGUUCACCUUUCUGAGGUUUCAGCUGAAUAUCAGAAAGGUCACUAAUGUCACUCCAUGCUGGUUCCUGGGAAACCAAACAACUCCCAGCAUUUUGCAACUUCUAUAAUGUCUGUUCACCUCAGAGCUCCCCGAUACCAUUUCUCACUCAAAACUUGCAGAGUCUUUUCCUGUGCAUGCAUAGGCUAUUAUUGAGAUAAACAAUGAAAGAAUUACUUAUUUCAAUUUCUGGACCUCCUCUUCUCUAGUACUCUGCCUUACAAAGUCUAGCAACUUUAGCCUCCUCAACUCUGAUCUCUGUUUCUUCAUUUCAGUGGGACCACCAGGAUAUUCUUGGACUUUUAACUUCCUGCAUUGCAACAUUGGGUUAUGUAAAAGAGUACUGUCCAGUGGGAGUGGUAUUAGCAAGACAACAGAACAGGAAGUCUUGAACCCUCCUUUACUCUGACUAACUCAUGUUUUCAACAGUAAUUCAUGGACAUUUUCUCUUUGUGAGAAAUUCAGAAACUCAUUAAGAAGUUACUGCACUCCUGCAGAAGAUGAAAUAAGUCACACUGAAGCUAGUAGGACAAUGUGAAAUACCUUUUCCCAGCUUCUCUCUGGGCAUAAAAAGAGGUACACCAUGUAUCCUACAUCCCAACAUUUUCAGAGGCUAACAGAGGACUGAAUUUUUCCAUCCUAUUUUGAAGAGAAUACAGAAUAUGGAACAUGGUAUACUCUAGCCACCUGGAACUGGUGAAAACAGAAGCAAUGGUUCAGGCUGAGGGUCAACACCCCCACACCCGCUGGCUCAGCACAGAAAUAGCAGUGGUAAAACCCUAACUCCCAGAUUUUUCCUGAGAAGGAAAAGUGGUGGCGCACUAAAGGUCCAAUGUCCCAACUUUUCAGAGAGCUACCCAAAAGAUUAGCAUCUGUCUACUCUGUCUCAGAGCUCUGAUCAAACUGGGACACAGCAUUUUCGCCACCUAAGGCCUCCCUGUGAGAUCAGAGAUAGACAUUUGGCCUGGUGGUCCCCAUAGCCACUCCCUGGCUCAGCAACAAGCAAGUGGAUGAAAAGCCUCAACUCCCAGGUUCAUUUUGAAGCGAAGAAGGGAAAAGAGAUGCAUUGAGUGUUCAAUAUCCUAACUUUUCCAAGGGUUACCCAGAAGACUGGUUUCAGUCUAGCCUGUCACCAUAGUCAGUGACACUAGCUCAGGAUAGCACAGACAGAGGAAAAAUCUAAGAUCCCAACUUCUAUCUAGAAAAUGAAUGAAGUACAUUGUGCACCUUACAACCCAACUUGAAGGAGGGGUUGCCUGAUAAAUUGGCUCUGUGAGUACUGACAGGUUUCAUCAUACUCUAGACACCACAGACUACUAAAAAUAAAAAAAAAAGUGGAUUGGAACAGCAUGAAUAUUUGAGGGGCCUCCAGAAUCUCUGGCCCAGGCUGAUUUGUGAGGGUCUUGUUCAGUACGGGGCUAGUCUGCAAAGACUAGGAGAAGCGGCUGUUGUCUCUAAUAUGCAGAUAUGAACACAGAGAAUCAGGAAAAAUAGAGAAGGAGAAAAAUACCUUUCAAACAAAGCAACAAGAUAAAUCUCCAUAAACUGACUAAUAAAAUGGAGGUGUGUUAUUUACCUGACAGAAAAUUCAAAUAACUGUCAUAAAGAUGCUCACCAAGGUCAAAAGAACAAUGCGUGAACAAAAUGAGAAUUUCAACAAAAAGAAGUUUUGUAAAGUACCAGACAGAAUUAAUGGAGCUGAAGAAUACAAUAACUGAGAUAAAAAAUUUAUUAGAGGCAUUAAACAGUUGACUAGAUCCAACAGAGGAAAGGAUCAAGAAACUCAAAGACAAGUCAUUGAAAAUUAAUCAGCCAGAGGAACAAAAAGAAAAAAGGAAUGUAAAAGAGUAAAGAAAACCUAAGGAACUAAUGGAACGCCAUCAAGCUUUUAAAUAUAAACAUUACGGAAGUCCCAGAAUAAAAACAGAUAAACAAAAGACUAAAAGAGUUAUUUAAAUAAAUAAUAAUAACUGAGAAUUUCCCAAAUGUGGGAAAGAAAAUAGACAUCCUGAUUCAAGAAGCCCAAAGUUCCUCAAAAAUAUUUCUUAUAAUGGAAAGAUAUAAAUUUUCUCAGAGAAAUAAAAGCUGAGGGAAUACAUCUCCACUAGAUCACACUGUAAAAAUGCUAAAGAGAGUUGUUAAAGGUAAAAAAAGGAAGCUAAGCAGCACUACAAUAGCUUAAGAAAGACUAAAAUAACAUAUAGACAUAUAUAGAACCCUGUAUCACUGUCAAAGUGGUUAGUAAAUCAUUCGAAUUCUUAUAUAAAAUUUAAAAGACAAAUGUAUUAAAAAUCUAUAAUAACAAUGUUAAUGAGUACACAAUACAAAUAGACAUAAAUUGUGACAUCAAUAACAUAAUAUGUGUAUGUGGCUGGGAAGAAGCAAAAGCACACUUUUUUAGUAUGUUAUUGAACUUAUCAGCUUAAAAUAGAUGGUUAUAUAUUACAUAAGGCCCAUGUUAAACAUGAAUAAAACUACAAAUGUCACACACACACACACAAACACAAAGAGAAAGGUAUCAAAGCAUAACAAUAUAAAAUAUCUAUGACACACAAAGGAAAACAAGAGAAAAAAAUGACAAAAGCCGCUAAGACAAAGAGAAAAAAACACAAUGGCAAUAGUGAAUCAUUCCCUAUUAAUAUUUACUUCAAAUGUAAACACAUUAAAAUUCCUAAUCAAAGGACGUGGAGUGGUUAAACAAAAGCAAGAUUCAGCUGUUUGCUGUAUUAAGAUAUUCACUUUAGAUUUAAAGACACAUAUAACCUGUAAGUGAAGGGAUGGAAAAAGUUAUUCCAUGCAAAAGUGAGCAAGAGUAGGUAUAUUUAUAUUAGACAAAAUAAACUUUUAGCAACAACCUGUUACAAAAGAUAAAGAAGGACAUUAAAAUAAUCAAUAAAUAAUCAAUGGGAACAUAUAAAAAUUAUAUGCAUCCAACAUCAGAAAAUUUAAGUAUAUAAAGCAAAUAUUGACAGAAUUGAAGGGAGAGAAAGCAAAACAACAGUAGGUUAUUCAACUCUCCGCUUUAACAAAUGGACAGGUCAGUCAUACAGAAAAUCAAUAAACAGUGGAUUUGAGCAAUGCUAAGACUAUAUGAACCAGAGAUAUUUAAAGAACAUGCAACACAACAGCAGCAGAAUAUAUAUUCUUCUCAAGUAGGCUCAGAACAUUCUCUGGGAUAGACCAGAUGUUAGAUCAAAACACAAGUUUUAAAAAUUUUAUGAAGAUUGAAGUCAUGCCGAGUACCUUAUUCAACCACAGUAUAAUGAAACCAGAAACAAGAGAAGAAAAACUUCUGAAGGAUACACAAAAAUGUGAAAAUUAAACAAAAUAGUUUUGAAAAAUUACUAAGUCAAAGAAGGAAUCACAAAGAAAAUAAGAAAAUAUAUUUAAACAAAUGAAAAUAAAAAUAUAACAUAGCAAAACUUAUUGGAUACAUCAAAAGUAGUACUACAAGAGAAGCUUGUAAUAACAGAUGCCUAUACUAAAAGAAAAAGAUCUCAAAUAAACAACCUAACAUUACACCUCAAGGAACUAGAAAAAGAAGAACAAACCAAGACCAAUGUUUGAGGAAGAAAGGAAAUAACAAAGAUUAGAAGAGAAGUAAAUGAAGCAGAGAAUAGAAAAACAAUAGAAAACAAAACCAAGAGUUGGUAAUUUGAGAUCAACGAAAUUGUCAAACCUUUAGCUAGACUAAGAAAAAAUACUAAAAUAAAUAUAAUCAUAAAUGAAAGAUGAGACAUUACAACUGUUAUGAGAAAAAUAAAGGUUCAUAAAAGCUUACUGUAAACAAUUCUAUACCAACAAACUGUAUAACCUAGAAAAAGUGAAGUGGCAGUAUACAAAAUCAACAUACAAUAAUUAGUUGCAUUUGUAUACACAAACAACAUACUAUCAAAAAAAGAAUUUAACAAAAUACUUCCAUUUACAAUACUAUCAAAAAGAAUAAAGUACUUAGGAAUAUCUUAAGUAAGGAAGAAAAAGACUUGUACAUGAAAACUACCAAAUAUUGAAGAAAGAAAUUUAAAAAGACACAGAAAAAUAUAUAACUGGUAUUCAUUUAUUAGAAGACUUAGCAUUGUUGAAAUGUUCAAACCAUGCAAAGUAAUCUACAGAUUCAAUGUUAUUCCUAUCAAAAUCCAAAUUCCCAGUGGCAUUUUUUCCAUAAGUAUAAAAAGACAAUUCUAAAAUUUAUAUGUAACACAAAAGAGUCCCCAAAGCCAAUACAAUUAUAAUAAACAAAAACAAGAAUGGAAGUAUUAUGGUUCCUAAUUUUAAAUUAUUUUACAAAGCUAUAGUAAUCAAAAUAGUUGAGUAUUAGCAUAGAUACGGACAUAUGAACCAAUGGAACAGAAUAGAGAGCCCAGAAGUAAAUCCAUACACACACGGUUCAUUGAUCUUCAGUAAGGUUCUACAAACACACAAUCAGGAAAUGGUAGUCUUUUCAACAAAUGGUGUUGAGAACACUAGAUAUUUACAUGCACAAUAAUGAAUUAGGACUCGUAUACUAUACCAUAUAAAAAAUCAACUCAAAAUAGAUGAAAAGCUUAAACGUUAAAACCUCAAACUGUCCAACUUAUAGAAGAAAAUAUGGAAAAACAUAUUUAUGAUAUUUUUCUUAGCAUUGAAUUCAUGAAUAUGAAACCAAAGCAUAGGCUACAAAAAUAAAAAUAGACAAGUGGGAAUAAAUAGGACUAAACAGCUUCUGCACAGCCAAGGAAACAAUCAACAAACCAAAAAGGCAAGCUACAGAAUGGGAGAAAAUAUUUGCAAACAUUAUAUUAGAUAGAGGUUAAUUGACAAAGUAUUUAAGAAACCCCUAUGACUCAAUAGCAAGAAAAUCCCAAACAAGCAAAACACACACACACACACACACAAAACUCCUAAAACCCAAAGUUAAAAAUGGGCCAAAAAUUUGAAUAAACAUUUCUCCAAAGAUGGACAAAUGGUCAAUAAGAAUAUGAAAAUACAGGCCACAUAGUUAAUCAUAUCCAAAUGCAAACCAAAACUACAAUGAGACAUCACCUCACAGUGGUUAGUAUGAGUAUUAUAAAAACAAAACAAAACAAAAACAAAGAAUACAAAACACAACAAAAACAAGAAGAAACAACAUAGUAAAGAUGUAAAAAAAUUGAAACUCUUGUAUGUGGGUGAUAGGAAUGUAAAAGUGUUCAGCCACUUAAAAAACAGUAUGGAGGUUCUUCAAAAAAUUAAAAAUAGAAUGACCAUAUGAUCCAGCAAAUACACUUCUCAAUAUUUAUCCUAAAGUAUUGAAAUAAGUAUCUCAAAGAAAUAUUAGCAACCCAAAAUUCAUUACAGCAAAGCUCACAAUUGCCAAAACGGAGAACAGACCAUGUGUCCAUUAACUGAUGAACAGACAAGAGAAAUGGUGUAUUCAUACAAUGGCAUAUUAUUCCACCUUUUAAAAAAGGAAAUUUUGUCAUUUACUAUGACAUUGAUGAACCUUGAAGAUUAUUCUAAGCCAAACAAGCCAGUCACUCAGAAGAGCAAAUACUGCAUGAUUCCACUUAGAUGAAGUAUCUAUAAUAGUCAAAGUCAUAGAAUCAGAGAUUAAAAUUGUUAUCAGGAGCUGUGGGAGAAGAGCAUGGCAAUGGAAAAUUACUAAUCAAAGGCAUAAAGUUUUAAUUAGGGAAGAUUAGUAAGUUCUAGAGAUCUGCUGUGCAAUACUUUUCUAAGGUAAACAGUAUUUUAUUGUACACUUAAAAAUUUGCUAAUAGGGCUGGGCGCAGGGGUUCACUCCUGUAAUCCUAACACUUUGGGAGGCUGAAGUGGGCGGAUCACCUGAGGUCACGAGUUUGAGACCAGCCUGGUGAAACCCUGUCUCUACUAAAAAUACAAAAAUUAGCUGGGUGUGGUGGCACACACCUGUAGUCCCAGCUAGUUAAGAGGCUGAGGCAGGAGAAUCACUUGAACCUGGGAGGCAAAGGUUGUAAUGAGCUGAGAUGGUGCCACUGGCUCCAGCCUGGGCAACAGAGCGAGACUCCAUCUCAAAAAAAAAAAGAAAAAAAAUGUGCUAAUAGGUUAGAUUUCAUGUUAAGUCUUCUUAGCACAACAAAUAAAAUAAGGUAUACUUUCCAAAGGUCUAAGGAAUUUUGUAGAAAACGUAUUGUUAUUUACAGUUAAUUUAAUCAAUUUUGAGCAGAUAACAAACUGUAAGUUGACAAUUUCUAAAGUUGGUUGAAACAUUUUCAGGAAUUCAUGAAAAGGAUGUGUAUUAGCUAUUUUUCUCUAAAUGUCAACUAGGUCAAGUUGACAUCUAAUUUGACAUCUAAUUCUUCUAUAUUCUGAAAGUAUUUUUGUCUAUUUCUAUAAUUUGCUGAGGGAGUUUUUUUUUUAUUUCUACCAUUAAUCUGUCAGAUUUUGAUGCUCUGAUUUUAAGUGCAUACAUAUUUGUGAUUCUUAUGUCUUCUUGAUUAAUAAGUACUAUUAUUGACAUGUGAUAUUGGUGGCAGCAGAGGGCUACCUGGUGCGGCUGCUGUCAACACACCAGCUGCUGAAGGGCGCCAGGAGGAGGCAGACAGCCCAUCCCCCGCAUCCCGCCACCCUGACGCCAGGGCGAUGGUCCGUGGCAGAAUCUCCCACCGCUGGGGGAGCGGCUCAGAGGGGCAGCAGCCAGGCUCAGCCAGAGCAGGGCAGAGGACAGAGAGACGAUGGAAUGACCAGCUGCCAAAAGGAGCUACCUUUUCUGCUGAGACUUGGGAAGACAACCGGACGACCAGCUGCAGAAAGGGUCCACCAACCACAGGGCCUCUCUGUUGACAGCUGAACACUCCAGAAGACAACCUGCCUACGGAGGAGGAGCUACCAACUGCAGGUCUCCUCUGAGCUAUUGCAAAGCUUAAUAAAGCUCCCCUUCGUCUUGCUCACCCUCCACAUCUCUGUAUACCUCAUUCCUGCUGGACGCAGGACAAGAACUUGGGCAAAGGCGCCACCAGCCACAGAGGUUUCCCACCAGAAAAAGCAACACCCCCCAAAUCCAGUAACAUAUAUACCUCUUGUAAAA